rnacentral:rRNA from 1 species
AGCGAACGCUGGCGGCAGGCUUAACACAUGCAAGUCGAGCGGGCACUUUCGGGUGUCAGCGGCGGACGGGUGAGUAACGCGUGGGAACGUGCCCUCUGGUUCGGAAUAACUCAGGGAAACUUGAGCUAAUACCGGAUACGCCCUUUUGGGGAAAGGCUUGCUGCCGGAGGAUCGGCCCGCGUCUGAUUAGCUAGUUGGUGAGGUAACGGCUCACCAAGGCGACGAUCAGUAGCUGGUCUGAGAGGAUGAUCAGCCACACUGGGACUGAGACACGGCCCAGACUACUACGGGAGGCAGCAAUGGGGAAUAUUGGACAAUGGGCUCAAGCCUGAUCCAGCCAUGCCGCGUGAGUGAUGAAGGUCUUAGGGUUGUAAAGCUCUUUUAUACGGGACGAUAAUGACGGUACCGGAGGAAUAAGCCCCGGCUAACUUCGUG